rnacentral:rRNA from 1 species
GAUGAACGCUGGCGGCGUGCCUAAUACAUGCAAGUCGAGCGAAUGGAUUAAGAGCUUGCUCUUAUGAAGUUAGCGGCGGACGGGUGAGUAACACGUGGGUAACCUGCCCAUAAGACUGGGAUAACUCCGGGAAACCGGGGCUAAUACCGGAUAACAUUUUGAACCGCAUGGUUCGAAAUUGAAAGGCGGCUUCGGCUGUCACUUAUGGAUGGACCCGCGUCGCAUUAGCUAGUUGGUGAGGUAACGGCUCACCAAGGCAACGAUGCGUAGCCGACCUGAGAGGGUGAUCGGCCACACUGGGACUGAGACACGGCCCAGAAUCCGACGGGAGGCAGCAGUAGGGAAUCUUCCGCAAUGGACGAAAGUCUGACGGAGCAACGCCGCGUGAGUGAUGAGGGCUUUCGGGUCGUAAAACUCUGUUGUUAGGGAAGAACAAGUGCUAGUUGAAUAAGCUGGCACCUUGACGGUACCUAACCAGAAAGCCACGGCUAACUACGUGCCAGCCGCCGCGGUAA